rnacentral:pre_miRNA from 1 species
CAUGCACCGGUGGGGUCCCUUGGCCUGGCCUGUGCCUCUCACAAUCCGGGAUCCCUCAGGGGAUGUCCACAGGCCAGGUUGAGGGACCCCACCGGUGCACA